AACGGAGGGCACCUGAAGAGGAAUGGAGGAGGACAGCACUACUGUGGUAGAGGAGCGGUGUGUGUGCAGACAUGGCUGCUGUUGGUGAAGCGGACUGAACUUAGAGGAGAGACACAAACUAAAGUAUCGAUCCCAUCACGUCAGUGUGGACCUGAUACCAACGUCUGUAUCGCUUCUAUCGAUGCUUGUAUCAAUCCACCCAGCCUGAGUUGAAGCAGCAAUGAGUUCAGUUCAGUAUCUGAGAGAGUUCAUCAAGGAGAGACUAACUGCUGUUGGUGAAGAAAUCUUCUCAGAGGUUCAAAAAACCAUCGUAUGAGGAGGAGAUCUACCGUCAGCACAGACUGCUGGAUAUCAGCCGGAAACCCGACAGAAACUCACACAUCAUAGACCUCCCACAACAACAUGACUGUAAGGAAGAGGAGGGUCUGGAUGAGCAGCAGGUCUGUAACCAGGAGAGGAACUCCAGUCUGGACCAGGAGGACCCAGAGCCUCCACAGAUUAAAGAGGAACAGGAGGAGCUCUGCAGCAGUCAGGAGGGAGGGAGAGCAGCUUGGACUGAAGGAGGAGACUGAAGGCAUUAUCGUCUGGACUGAUGAAGAGCAGCUCAGAUUGAUGGAGACCAUCUGGAAACCUGUGAUAAAGUUACACAGAAUAUGUCCAACAGCAGCAUGCUUUUGAGGAAGAGGAGGUUUUUACCAACCAGGAGGUCUGUAACCAGGAGAGAAACUCCAGUCUGGACCAGGAGGACCCGGAGCCUCCACAGAUUAAAGAGGAACAGGAGGAACUCCGCAGCAAUCAGGAGGGAGUAGAGCUGGGCGAUAUAAGAUUUUUUCAUAUCACGCUCUAGGAGGGAGAGCAGCUUGGACUGAAGCAGGAGACUGAUACUUUCAUGGAGACUCCUGCUUACGGGGAAAGUGCCCGCAGUGAACCAGAACCAAACAGCGAGCAGCUGCUUUCUGACAGCUCUCCUGAAGCAGAGAGCCGAGAUCAUGAAGAAAAUCAGCAUGUGGACUCAGGAUCUAUUACAAAUGCAGAGCUGAAGAAAAGAUGUCACAGAAAGAGAAGUCACAGUCAAAGAGUAGACAACACUCCUGUGUCAGUGAGUCAAAGUAGAACGGACACAAAGAAUAAGUCUGUACAAUGUGACGUGUGUGGAAAAACUUUAAAGAAUAAAUACAAAAUGACUAGACAUCUAAGAAUUCACACAGGUGAGAAGCCGUAUUCCUGUAGCACCUGUGGAAAAAGAUUUGUUACCUCAUCAUCGUUCAAAACACACACGAGAACUCACACAGGUGAGAAACUAUUCUUGUAGCACCUGUGAGAAAAGACUUGUCCAGACGAUACAAUUAAAGAAUCACAUGAGAAUUCAUACUAGUUAAAAUGUUCAUACUUAUAAAAUGUGGGAAAACUGUGAGUCAUGGCUGAACAUCUGAGUGAAAAGAUGAUACAUAUUAAAGUCAGUAUUUUAGACCCAGAACAGUAAAGAAAUCUCAGCAUUGUUUGUUCUGUUUAUUACGUUAUUCUGUUAAUUGUAACAGGGAAACUCUUAUCUUACAUUUCACCAAGGUUAAAGUUCAGUGUGCUCCUGUUCUGCUGGUUCAUUGUUUAAUUUCAUGGAUUUAAGUGGUGUUCAUGUGUCUUUAAGGUUUAUUAAGAUUUUCAGAUUUUUUUUCCUUACAAAGAUGUAAUCUCAAAUGUGUAAAAGCAGCGUAACAGAGUGUUCUGCCUUAUUUAACACAGGUUUUUCAUUGUUUCUGACAGUGGUGUUCCAUCAGGACAAGCUUGCCCUGUCAAAUUUCAAAAAUAGUGAUGAAUUAAAAUGUAUCAAAGUAAAGUGAUGUCACUCCUUUCAUUUAAGACAGUGCUUUCAUAAAACUACUCACCUUCAUUUAAUAUUUAAUCUAUUUAUAUUACCGCCGUCUUGUGGCUGCAGUUGGUUUUUGUCACUGAAAGCUGUUCUUCUUUCAUGUGUAGUCAUCUAGGUCUAUGUGUAUGUCUCCUGGGUAAGCUGGGUAAGCUGUGAGGCCAACAGCUUGUUUCUGGUGUUUUGUGCGAGUUAAUUGCCCCUGUGAAAUAAAUGUAUUGGCUCAAAUGAUGUUUUUUUUUUCUUGUGUGCAAUUUAUGACAUAAAAGUAAGUUC